rnacentral:rRNA from 1 species
GAUGAACGCUGGCGGCGUGCCUAAUACAUGCAAGUCGAGCGAACAGACGAGGAGCUUGCUCCUCUGACGUUAGCGGCGGACGGGUGAGUAACACGUGGAUAACCUACCUAUAAGACUGGGAUAACUUCGGGAAACCGGAGCUAAUACCGGAUAAUAUAUUGAACCGCAUGGUUCAAUAGUGAAAGACGGUUUUGCUGUCACUUAUAGAUGGAUCCGCGCCGCAUUAGCUAGUUGGUAAGGUAACGGCUUACCAAGGCAACGAUGCGUAGCCGACCUGAGAGGGGGAAGGGCCACUCCGGACCCGACACUGGACACAACUCCCUAGGGGGGGCAAGAGGGGGGACUUUGCAGGAUGGGGCCAGAGUUUAAGGGAAACGCCGCGCGUGAGUGGAAGGGUUUUUGGGAUCAUAAAAACGUUUUUUUAGGAAAGAAAAAAUUUGAAAACAAAACCGACGCUUUGCCGGGUACCCAUAAAAAAGGCAAGGGUCAACAUGGG